AGUGAACGCUGGCGGUAGGCCUAACACAUGCAAGUCGAACGGCAGCACAGUAAGAGCUUGCUCUUACGGGUGGCGAGUGGCGGACGGGUGAGGAAUACAUCGGAAUCUACUUUUUCGUGGGGGAUAACGUAGGGAAACUUACGCUAAUACCGCAUACGACCUACGGGUGAAAGCAGGGGAUCUUCGGACCUUGCGCGAUUGAAUGAGCCGAUGUCGGAUUAGCUAGUUGGCGGGGUAAAGGCCCACCAAGGCGACGAUCCGUAGCUGGUCUGAGAGGAAGAUCAGCCACACUGGAACUGAGACACGGUCCAGACUCCUACGGGAGGCAGCAGUGGGGAAUAUUGGACAAUGGGCGCAAGCCUGAUCCAGCCAUACCGCGUGGGUGAAGAAGGCCUUCGGGUUGUAAAGCCCUUUUGUUGGGAAAGAAAAGCAGCAGGUUAAUACCCCGCUGUUCUGACGGUACCCAAAGAAUAAGCACCGGCUAACUUCAUG
rnacentral:rRNA from 1 species